AGGACGAACGCUGGCGGCGUGCUUAACACAUGCAAGUCGAACGGAAAGGCCCGCUUGCGGGUACUCGAGUGGCGAACGGGUGAGUAACACGUGGGCAACCUGCCCUCAGCUCUGGGAUAACUCCGGGAAACCGGUGCUAAUACUGGAUAUCGACUUCUGCCUCGCAUGGGGUGUUGUUGAAAGUUUUUCGGCUGGGGAUGGGCCCGCGGCCUACCAGCUUGUUGGUGGGGUGAUGGCCUACCAAGGCGACGACGGGUA
rnacentral:rRNA from 1 species